AUAAUUAAAAAAAAUAAAUAAAAAAAAUACAAAACAGACUAACAAGACAGCAUCAAAGUUGCAUUACAAAAGAUAGCUAAUGGAAGUCUAGAUACACAACUGAACAAAUGCCAGAAUAACAAAAACCAAAGGUCUAGGUAGCCACAAAACCAAGUCGAGAGCUGCAGCAAAAUAUGCAGAAAAGUCACCCACAAAUGUCUCCAACCCUCAAAUCUGCAACCAAAGAGGAGACCUACGAGACAAGAUCAAGCAGCCAAAACAAGAAACUCAUAUUGAUUUGAACUCUUAAAUAGUACAACACCGGUUGUGGCGAGUUCUCCAAUCAAUAAAAAAUGCAGUUCAAUUGAAGUAUUUUCACAGUAAGAACAAUAUCAUGAUUUCAAAGUUGAAUCAAGUUGCAGUUAUUAGUGUUUGUUGUGGUAUUUUAAAUUUAAGGGAAAUUUUAUUCUAAAUACUGUAGUGUUAUUUAUAAAUGAAAAUGAUCUCUUGGCUAAAAAAAUAUUUAAAUAGAAGGAGAAUUUUAUCUAAAUUAAAAAAAAAAAAUUAGUCUGGUAAAUCAGUGUUUUAUGAUGAUAGAGUAUUCUUUUUAAAUCAAAAUAGUAACUUUAUUUUUAUAUAUGAAAAUUAAUCGUUUAACAAUAUGUUGGGUGGAUACUUUAAUAAUAUUUUUAUUUAGAAAUUUAGUCAAACCUUACAAAUCCAGUCUUAUAAUAAAUGUAACAAAAUCGUUGUACAUACAAUGCUUAUAUUCUAUAAUUUCUCAAGAGUAAGGCAACUUAAUACAUUAGUUUAGCAAUAAAACCCAUAAACAUGUGUGCAUAUAACAGUGACCAGUGAACACUAAACAAAGUAAUUAAAAAAAAAUACCAUCAUAUUUGUUUUGGAAAAAAUAAUUUAUAUAUAAAAAAACAUUUCAUGAAAAUUAUUUUAUAAGAAAAUUUUUUUCAUAAAAAUAUUUUUUAUUAUUUAAUUAUAAUAUUAAAUUAAAUAUAUGCGUUUAUAUAAUAUAUUUAUAAGUAUUUUUAUAUUUUAAUAAAAUUAUUAAAAUUUAGAAAUAAUGUUGUCAAAGAAAUCUCCGUGGCUAUGGAUUUGUAAAAUAAGAAGGCACUUAAUGGGUUAAUUGACCAUCACUCCGGUGUCUAAGUCAAUAUUAGUAUUAUGGAGAAUGAGAAUGAAGUUGAGUGAAUAGAGAUUGGACCCUGUGUAUUUGUCAAUUUUCAUAUAUAUAUAUAUAUAU
rnacentral:misc_RNA from 1 species